ACAGAAAUUACAUUGAUGAUUGUGGAUAACUCUGUGCGUAAAAAGGUAUAAAGCGGGGUUUUGCUGGGGAAUGCAGCAGUCAGUCAUUUUUCUGCAAUUUUUCUAUUGCGGCCUGCGGAGAACUCCCUAUAAUGCGCCUCCAUCGACACGGCGGAUGUGAAUCACUUCACACAAACAGCCGGUUCGGUUGAAGAGAAAAAUCCUGAAAUUCAGGGUUGACUCUGAAAGAGGAAAGCGUAAUAUACGCCACCUCGCGACAGUGAGCUGAAAGCCGCGUCGCAACUGCUCUUUAACAAUUUAUCAGACAAUCUGUGUGGGCACUCGAAGAUACGGAUUCUUAACGUCGCAAGACGAAAAAUGAAUAC
rnacentral:rRNA from 1 species